CAGGCUCCCUGGUUGUUGGUUCAGUCUCUU
rnacentral:piRNA from 1 species